rnacentral:rRNA from 1 species
UAAGCGGAGGAAAAGAAACCAACAGGGAUUGCCUCAGUAGCGGCGAGUGAAGCGGCAAAAGCUCAAAUUUGAAAUCUGGCGUCUUUGGCGUCCGAGUUGUAAUUUGAAGAAGGUAUCUUUGGGCCCGGCUCUUGUCUAUGUUCCUUGGAACAGGACGUCACAGAGGGUGAGAAUCCCGUGCGAUGAGAUGACCCGGGUCUGUGUAAAGUUCCUUCGACGAGUCGAGUUGUUUGGGAAUGCAGCUCUAAGUGGGUGGUAAAUUCCAUCUAAAGCUAAAUAUUGGCGAGAGACCGAUAGCGAACAAGUACAGUGAUGGAAAGAUGAAAAGAACUUUGAAAAGAGAGUGAAAAAGUACGUGAAAUUGUUGAAAGGGAAGGGCUUGAGAUCAGACUUGGUAUUUUGCAUGCUGCUCUCUCGGGGGCGGCCGCUGCGGUUUACCGGGCCAGCAUCGGUUUGGAGCGGCAGGAUAAUGGCGGAGGAAUGUGGCACGGCUUCUGCUGUGUGUUAUAGCCUCUGACGAUACUGCCAGCCUAGACCGAGGACUGCGGUUUUUACCUAGGAUGUUGGCAUAAUGAUCUUAAGUCGCCCGUCUUGAA